CUAUUGACUAGAAGAACGAUAUGUAUAAAUGGAGAUGUUCACCGUGCUAUAUAUAUUUAUGUAACAAAUAUACCGUCUACGUUUCGAUCUAUUCUAGUAUUUGGAACGGAUUCAAGUAGACUAAUACAAAUUAGAAGUUCUUACCAGAAAAAUCUGUCGUAAAGGUGAACCGAAGCAUUUUAGCAGGACGCACAAUUUUCCUCAACCUCGGCCUGGCCGAUGCUAAGAAUCAGCGUCACCGAAAUACCGCGGUGUAACUUUGAAAAAAUAGGUCGAUUAAGAGCGCCGAUAUCCAUCAAACUGUCUCUUAAAAUAUUCGGCCGGCGAUCGAAACAUAAUCUCGAAAUGGAGAAUGAAUACGGAAACACCAUUCUAGUACGUACGGAAGAAUAAAAGAGACUGAGGCACGAGCAGCAACACUAGCUAACGAUAUCGUCGAACGCAAUGAUCCAACACCAAGUUAUGAGCAAUUCUACUUUUUUCCGAGACACGUCCGAAUAAUUGCUGCCAUUGCCGUAUUUUUUGAUAUUUCUCCGUGAAAAUUUUAUACGAUAUUCUUCGAAUGUCAUACUUUAAUGUACUAUUGGUUUUAAUAAAGAGAUUUUAACUGUGUCGUCACAAAU